UACGUAGGGGGCAAGCGUUGUCCGGAGUUACUGGGCGUAAAGCGCACGCAGGCGGUCUCUUAAGUUUGGAGUGACAGUUGGUGGCUUAACUGCCAAAGUGCUUCGAAAACUGAGAGACUUGAGGGCUUCAGAGGGACACGGAAUUCCGGGUGGAGUGGUGAAAUGCGUAGAGAUCCGGAGGAACACCAAAGGCGAAGGCAGCUACCUGGACCAACACUGACACUGAGGCACGAAAGCGUUGGGAGCAAACAGG
rnacentral:rRNA from 1 species